rnacentral:rRNA from 1 species
CACUCCUGCGGGAGGCAGCAGUGGGGAAUAUUGGACAAUGGGCGCAAGCCUGAUCCAGCCAUGCCGCGUGAGUGAUGAAGGCCCUAGGGUUGUAAAGCUCUUUCACCGGAGAAGAUAAUGACGGUAUCCGGAGAAGAAGCCCCGGCUAACUUCGUGCCAGCAGCCGCGGUAAUACGAAGGGGGCUAGCGUUGUUCGGAAUUACUGGGCGUAAAGCGCACGUAGGCGGAUCGAUCAGUCAGGGGUGAAAUCCCAGGGCUCAACCCUGGAACGGCCUUUGAUACUGUCGAUAUGGAGUAUGGAAGAGGUGAGUGGAAUUCCGAGUGUAGAGGUGAAAUUCGUAGAUAUUCGGAGGAACACCAGUGGCGAAGGCGGCUCACUGGUCCAUUACUGACGCUGAGGUGCGAAAGCGUGGGGAGCAAACAGGAUUAGAAACCCUUGUAGUCCCAUGA